CCUGAGUCUCCACCGGGCACCGCGCUUGGAGCAGAGACGACAUACACCGCUAAAACACACGCCGCUGUCGCUCCCGUCAGUGUCCACGUCAACUUGUCCGACGACAUUUCAGCCGUCUUUCAAAGACGGCGGUGCACCGCGACUUUUGCGCCUUCGGGUGCUCGCGAACAAUCCAUGAUGACAACAGACGACGGGUGCCGUUCCUUCACACCGAGGCAAAGAUUACGCGUUAAAAAGCAAAUAAAGAGACAUUUCAAAAGCGUCAAGCAUUCUCAGAGAACAGUACCUGGAACAUGUCUGUGUCUUUGUCAUGGCUGUACUCCACCACCACCGUCUGGUUUCUGGACAGCGUGUAGGAGAUGCUGUGCUGGCCCUUACAGUUCACCGCCUGCCACAACACAACAAAAGCAUCUG